UGGGGAAUAUUGGACAAUGGGGGCAACCCUGAUCCAGCAAUGCCGCGUGUGUGAAGAAGGUCUUCGGAUUGUAAAGCACUUUCGACGGGGACGAUGAUGACGGUACCCGUAGAAGAAGCCCCGGCUAACUUCGUGCCAGCAGCCGCGGUAAUACGAAGGGGGCUAGCGUCGCUCGGAAUGACUGGGCGUAAAGGGCGUGUAGGCGGUUUACACAGUCAGAUGUGAAAUCCCCGGGCUUAACCUGGGAGCUGCAUUUGAUACGUGUAGACUAGAGUGUGAGAGAGGGUUGUGGAAUUCCCAGUGUAGAGGUGAAAUUCGUAGAUAUUGGGAAGAACACCGGUGGCGAAGGCGGCAACCUGGCUCAUGACUGACGCUGAGGCGCGAAAGCGUGGGGAGCAAACAGGAUUAGAUACCCUGGUAGUCCACGCUGUAAACGAUGUGUGCUGGAUGUUGGGUAACUUUGUUAUUCAGUGUCGCAGUUAACGCGUUAAGCACACCGCCUGGGGAGUACGGCCGCAAGGUUGAAACUCUAAA
rnacentral:rRNA from 1 species